ACUGGACCCAAGCAUCGAGUCAGGCCUCUACUAUUCAACACAACAUAUCACAAUACAAAGAAUAUGACACAAUAUUCAAAUAUGCUCUCAAGAAAUAAUAAGCCAAGAUUCAGUUGAAAAAAUGACAAUUUACUCUCAAGUAAUAAUAAUCAGAGACACCUAUAAAUAACCAUUGCCAUGUUGGAAAUAAGCAGCAACAACAGACAACAGCUAGCGAACGGGAUACCAUCAACAGUCUUGGUGUUCGGCUGUAACAAGCAAGGUUUGUACAGAGUAUAGUUGGUUUCACUUUGUAAGCAUAUACAUUGGAUUUUAUCACAUCAGCAGAUCAAUGAUCGGAUAGAGAUUAUGAAGUAUUAAUUCUAUCAUCACAAAGUUUCAAAGCAGAAUAUAGUGAAUGGUUUACAUGUAUACACAGAUGCAACUGAUAGAACUAGCACUGAACCCAACGCAGCAAAAUCCAUAUCUUCAUCAGAUAUCCAUUUUAUGUUUUCGAAAACAAUUCAGGGCAGCGUUACAAAAUCCAUAGCUUCCCAAUCUAUGUUUCCUUAUGUUGUCAGGAUGAACAAGUAGUAGCAUGAACAGUGAGUUGUCAUGGAUUCAAUGAACAUCAUCAAUUAUGCAAAUCAGCAAUCACACACUAUCUAUAGAUAAAUCAGAAUAGGAAGAAGAUCAUAGGGGAGAAAAAAGCACAUACCAGCCCGAAGCGAGGUUGGCAUCAUGGCAAAGUCAAUGCAGCAGCACAUCACGGGCUCACUGGCAGUAGUACAGGAGCAAAUGUUGGCAUGAGUCCAUUUAUUCUCCCAACCGACAUCUUCUAGUUCUGGGCAAGACCACCAUGCAUGCAUAUAUUAGAAGGCGAAUCGAAUUAGAAAAUCAAAGGUAUGAAUAUUACAUUGGAUUAAGAAUGGGGGAAACAGAAACCUUGGGCCAUGUCGACCAGAUCUGGCCUAGCCCACGGUCAGCGAGGAGGCAGCGGUGUGUUGUGUUGUGCCUGCAUUCUACAGGAUCCACUAGCCUCAUCAGCGGCCACUUCUGCAGGGUCAGAAAACCUUUGUGAAGCCGACCAUGGCAAGAUCCUAUGCCAUGGAUCACCCAGGACGUGUCCCUCCUGAGGCGUCCGUGCAGGAUGCAAGAGUCAGCAGACAGCGCCUGGCCACCCAUUAAUGUGUGGCAAGCUUGGCUUCAAAUCAUGUAUGCUUUUCAGCUAAGUUGGUACUUUUGCUACCUGCACCAAUUCCCCCUUCCAUGUUUAUUUCCAAACUGCAACAGCAAAAUAAAAGUGAGCACCUAGUGCAACAAUUAUACUAAAUGCCCCAAAACAGAUUAACAUUUUGCUUUUUCUUCUCUAGAGAUCACAAAGUGGGGCAUUGAACAAACAUUAGCUACAAGAAAAUUUGAGCUCAUACAUUACAUAGUUACAAAUAGCAAAUAUGAAGCCACCAAUAAUAAAGAAGUAUGCAGCCAACAAAUUAAUUAAUGCGACAAGAGGCGUACUUAUUAGUAGCACCCACCACUUUCGAAAUUCCCCAAGGAAGUUUCAAGACUUGAGCAAAAGAUAAUAUGUGUGUGCGUCAUGCUACCAAGUAUGCAUAAGGUUGGCAGUACACAUACAAGAUGCAAGCCUCAAGUAAGUUAUCAUACUUCUUCUCGAUAUGUUUGAUUUGUCCACGACCCAGACUCAGCCGGGGAUUCCACUGCGGCGCAGUCAGCUGACAGACGCAAACUCCCAGCAGGCUAGACUGCAAGGCACACACACUCUCUAAUCUAAUCUGUAUGCACUUAUUGCUAAUUAGCUAGCCGACUACUGGCGUGCGUGUGGUGGACACUAUCUCAUCUUCACUUGAAUAAAUAGCACCAGCCUACCAAACUAACAAGGUUAACUUCAACACUUAGAGAAACAAACAUGGAUACGUGAUUUAAGAACUUCAACCCCUAUAACAACAACAAAACCUUUAUUCAACACCUAGAAGUUGGCACAAAAACAGGAAUGGCUUAACCGCACACACAUACAUGUGAAAGUCAUCAUAAUGGUUGAACUGACCAAUAUAGUAAAACUCCAGCCAAUUCAGUCCCGACCUUUGAACUAUCACACAAUGCUACUGGACCAUGUUAAGAUACAAGUCCACAAGGCAAGAUAGCAUUUAUUAACAUGAAACUACAAGAAGGAAUUGAUGCCAUAUUAGAUAUGACACUGAAAUCAUUACUAUGAUUGAACUAAAAAUAUAAACAAAGUCUAGAAGAUGUAAUAUCUUUGGCUUUUAGCAUCAGCAACUUCACGAAGUCAACCUUGCAUGAUAAAACACAGGCCGAGCCCAACCGCUAAGCAAUCAGACACUCUACUAGCGGCAUUGGUGUCUUCUACCUCCUAGCAGAAGCUUCUCUGAGACACCUACUGAUCCAAGCAUCGCAAAUUAGAGUUUCACCUCAUUCUGAUACCAACCCAGCAACCUGAGCAAUCACCUAGGUAACAAAACCCCUACGUACAGAUCAAUUUGAGUAGCAAUAGUAGAAGGGAGGGGCAGGCUGCUUAC
rnacentral:lncRNA from 1 species